CCCGGGUGGUCCCCCCUUGCCUGGCUCGGGCCCCAGGCUGCUCUGUGGAGGGCGGGGGGGGGAGGCUGAGGGAGGGCGGGCGCCAGGCGCGGAGG
rnacentral:miRNA from 1 species